rnacentral:tRNA from 1 species
UGCGGGAUUGUGUAAAGGUAGCACGAGUGACUCUGACUCACUUUGUCUGGGUUCGAAUCCUAGUCCCGCAGCCA